CCACUCUGGAAAGCAGGGACGACACGUUCGUCCCUCGCCGAAGGUGCAAACCACGUCGAGGGCGUGGCGAAGCUCUCAGGCACAGAUGACAGAGGGGGA
rnacentral:ncRNA from 1 species